GAUGAACGCUAGCGAUAGGCUUAACACAUGCAAGUCGAGGGACCGGCGGAUGGGUGAGUAACGCGUAUGCAACUUGCCUCUUAGUGGGGGAUAACCCGGAGAAAUCCGGACUAAUACCGCAUACUAAGAGAUAGGCAUGCGUUCCAUUAGUUAUUUGGUGAGGUAACGGCUCACAAAGGCAUCGAUGGAUAGGGGAGCUGAGAGGCUGAACCCCCACAUUGGUACUGAGACACAGCCCAAACGCGUACGCGAGGCAGCGGUUAGGAAUUAUGGUAAAUGGAGGAGACUGUGAACCAGCCAAGUCGCGUAAAUGAUGACGGUCUAUGGAUUGUAAACUUCUUUAGUAGGCGAAUAAGUAGCCUAAGAAUAAGUAUCGGCUAACUCCGUGCCAGCAGCCGCGGUAAUUC
rnacentral:rRNA from 1 species